AAAAUAGAUCAAAAGAUAAUCGAAUUGGGACUUUAACAGUAGAAGAUGUAGCUAUGAAAUGUCAUCUCACAAAUGUAUGUACUUUGGUCUAAUUACCAGGUAAACUGGCAUCAAAGAAUCCUUCUGCUAAAGGAGUUGGUCCAAACCAGGGUGCAGCUGUUUUAACAUCUCCCCAGCCCACAUCGCCCAUUGCCAACCAGCACCCCCAGACUGCAGAACAGCAUCUGACAGCCAAAAACUCAAGCCUUCUGAGAACACAAUCAGCCAACGUCAGUGCUACACAGGAGCCUGUUGGGAUGUCCACCCAAAACAGCAAAGCAGUCCAACUAGGAAGGCCAGCAGCAGGCACUACUGUGCGGUCCACAAGGACAGGGAAUUCCUCCCUCCUGACUCCCAGUGAUGUCCCUGCUCCGAAAUCAAGAUUUUCCCCCACAUAUCAGGCCAGUGUUGUUCAGAGGAACAACUCUGUCCCACUGGGGCAUCCUUACCAAGCUCCCUAUUCCACUUACAAUCCAGCCCCAUCUCCUAGUGCCCGUCCAUACCCUAAUGGCACGUUUCUUUACUGGGGCGAUUUGAGCCGGACACUGGCUUUUGCCUGGGAACUUCACGUCUACGGGUCCGGAAGCCUCUUCCUCCUUCUGUUUGCUGGCGCUGCUCUAGGUCUCACGCUGUCCCCUGCUACCAACUGCCCCCAUCG
rnacentral:lncRNA from 1 species